GGGCUGGAGGACCAAGAAUGCUACUUGUGGCUGGCGAACCUAAAAAUGUUAAUCGUCUGUCUCUCACACUCCCUGCCAGGUCUGCAGCAUGUACCCGUCUGUUUGCUAUGAGGUAAAAAUAGGGUUCUAUCUGCUUUCAGAAGAGAGAUCUGGAUGGAGCUGAUGUGUGAAAAUGUUCCAGCAUACAAGAUGUUCUGAAAAAUCAUACCAAAAUAAGGGGUGUGCAUGCACUGAUUUUUGUGAUUCGAUUUGACCUCAAAUCAAAUUCAUGCUAGCUGGCCUCGCACAUCAGCUUCUGAAGGGCAAAUGAUGGUAUUUUUCUUCAUGAAAAGGAAUUUGUAAUGGACUUUGCCAGAAAUAGCAGGAACUCAGUAUCUUGUGCAAAAAGAAAAAGAAAAAGAAAGAAAGAAGAAGGAUGUGAGUCAUUAUCAACAUCAGGACGCCCAAUGUAUUCUACACUCUCCAUGUCUUCUAUGACAUAUGAGAUGGGAAAAAAUGGUGGGGGGAGAUUGAGAAAGGAAAAUAGAGACCCCUCGUAUGUAACAAGUCUCAGUUGUACCCAUCCCUCUGAAAUCCACUUUGCUUCACAUUGUUCCUGUUCGUUAGAAUUGCUUGGUUUAUUUUCCGACUCUGAAGAUGGUCCCUCUGCAAUGAAAAGAAGGAAACUGGUUGUAUUGGAGAAGUGACAAUAUUGAAGUUAAGUUUAAUUGCAAUAAACUCACUUACUAGGAAGUCAACCGGUUACCAUUGAACUCAAUAGGGCUUCCUUCUGAACAAGCAUGGUUAGUAUUGUGCUGCUGAAGCAAAGGCACGUCGGAAAGGAACUUAAAAGUGACAUUUUAGUUUUUUCAUGAUUGCUUGUAAACAAGGCACUCUUCCAAAUUAUUUAAUUUCUAAUACAA